rnacentral:tRNA from 1 species
GCGGAAGUAGCUCAGNUGGUAGAGCGUCAGCCUUCCAAGCUGAAUGUCGCCGGUUCGAACCCGGUCUUCCGCUCAA